rnacentral:rRNA from 1 species
GACGAACGCUGGCGGCGUGCCUAAUACAUGCAAGUCGAACGCAGUGGGGACGGGUGAGUAACACGUGGGUAACCUCCCAUCAGAGGGGAUAACACUUGGAAACAGGUGCUAAACCGAUACUGAUGGAUGAACACGCGGUGCAUUAGCUAGUUGGUGAGGUAACGGCUCCCCAAGGCCACGAUGCAUAGCCGACCGGUGAGGUUGAUCUGCCACACUGGAACUGAGACACGGCCCAGACUCCUACGGGAGGCAGCAGUAGGGAAUCUUCGGCAAUGGACGAAAGGCUGACCGAGCAACGCCGCGUGAGUGAAGAAGGUUUUCGGAUCGUAAAACUCUGUUGUUAGAGAAGCGGUAUCUAACCAGAAAGCCACGGCUAACUACGUGCCAGCAGCCGCGGUAAUUC